UGGGGAAUAUUGGACAAUGGGCGAAAGCCUGAUCCAGCCAUGCCGCGUGUGUGAAGAAGGUCUUCGGAUUGUAAAGCACUUUAAGUUGGGAGGAAGGGCAGUAAGCGAAUACCUUGCUGUUUUGACGUUACCGACAGAAUAAGCACCGGCUAACUCUGUGCCAGCAGCCGCGGUAAUACAGAGGGUGCAAGCGUUAAUCGAAAUUACUGGGCGUAAAGCGCGCGUAGGUGGUUCGUUAAGUUGAAUGUGAAAGCCCCGGGCUCAACCUGGGAACUGCAUCCAAAACUGGCGGGCUAGAGUAGGGCAGAGGGUGGUGGAAUUUCCUGUGUAGCGGUGAAAUGCGUAGAUAUAGGAAGGAACACCAGUGGCGAAGGCGACCACCUGGGCUCAUACUGACACUGAGGUGCGAAAGCGUGGGGAGCAAACAGG
rnacentral:rRNA from 1 species